AGCUAAUACUUGCUUUAGCACUCUUGAUUUAUUUCUUGAGUGUGUACUUGUUAAGCCUUAUAAGAAAAGAGUUAUUAACUUAAGGAAUUAUAACAAAGAAGUAACACGUAAUGGAUUAUUCCAUUUUUUAGUGUGUAUCAAUCGAGUUUCUGACCUAUCAGCUUUUGAUGUUAGGGUAUUGGCCUAACAUGGCUAUGACGGGUAACGGGGAAUUAGAGUUCGAUUCCGGAGGGGGAGCCUGAGAAAUAGCUACCACAUCUAAGGAAGGCAGCAGGCGCGUAAAUUACCCAAUUCUAAAGAAGAGAGGUAGUGACAAGAAAUAACAAUACAAGGCCAAUCUGGCUUUGUAAUUGGAAUGAUGGGAAUUUAAAACCUUCCCAAAAUUCAAUUGGAGGGCAAGUCUGGUGCCAGCAGCCGCGGUAAUUCCAGCUCCAAUAGCGUAUAUUAAAAUUGUUGCAGUUAAAACGCUCGUAGUUGAAUUUCAAAGAAUCGAUAUUUUAAGUAACGCUUCUAGCUACAAAUCCACAUAACUGAUGCCUCCGCGUAUCGACUUUGUGCGCAUUUUAGCUAUUAUGUGUUCUUUUAAUUAAAAUGAUUCUUUUUAAGAUUCAUCUAUUAAAAAUUUGCUUCGGCAUAAUUUUUUUGAUGAUCUUGUUACUUUGAGUAAAUUAGAGUGUUCAAAGCAAACAGAUAUAGCAUUUGUGCGUUUGAAUACUACAGCAUGGAAUAACAAAAUUGAACAAGUCAGAAUUUUUUUGUUCUUUUUUCUUAUUUUGGCUUAGUUACGACUAAUAGGAGUAGCUUGGGGGCAUUUGUAUUCAGAUGUCAGAGGUGAAAUUCUUAGAUUUUCUGGAGACAAACAACUGCGAAAGCAUUUGCCUAAAAUACUUCCAUUAAUCAAGAACGAAAGUUAAGGGAGUGAAGACGGUCAGAUACCGUCGUAAUCUUAACCAUAAACUAUGCCGACUAGGCUUUGGAUGAAAGAUUUUAAAAUAAGAGUUUU
rnacentral:rRNA from 1 species